rnacentral:rRNA from 1 species
GAACGGGUGAGUAACACGUGGGUGAUCUGCCCUGCACUUUGGGAUAAGCCUGGGAAACUGGGUCUAAUACCGAAUAUGACCAUGCACUUCCUGGUGUGUGGUGGAAAGCUUUUGCGGUGUGGGAUGGGCCCGCGGCCUAUCAGCUUGUUGGUGGGGUAAUGGCCUACCAAGGCGACGACGGGUAGCCGGCCUGAGAGGGUGACCGGCCACACUGGGACUGAGAUACGGCCCAGACUCCUACGGGAGGCAGCAGUGGGGAAUAUUGCACAAUGGGCGCAAGCCUGAUGCAGCGACGCCGCGUGAGGGAUGACGGCCUUCGGGUUGUAAACCUCUUUCAGCACAGACGAAGCGCAAGUGACGGUAUGUGCAGAAGAAGGACCGGCCAACUACGUGCCAGCAGCCGCGGUAAUACGUAGGGUCCGAGCGUUGUCCGGAAUUACUGGGCGUAAAGAGCUCGUAGGUGGUUUGUCGCGUUGUUCGUGAAAACUCACAGCUUAACUGUGGGCGUGCGGGCGAUACGGGCAGACUUGAGUACUGCAGGGGAGACUGGAAUUCCUGGUGUAGCGGUGGAAUGCGCAGAUAUCAGGAGGAACACCGGUGGCGAAGGCGGGUCUCUGGGCAGUAACUGACGCUGAGGAGCGAAAGCGUGGGGAGCGAACAGGAUUAGAUACCCUGGUAGUCCACGCCGUAAACGGUGGGUACUAGGUGUGGGUUUCCUUCCUUGGGAUCCGUGCCGUAGCUAACGCAUUAAGUACCCCGCCUGGGGAGUACGGCCGCAAGGCUAAAACUCAAAGAAAUUGACGGGGGCCCGCACAAGCGGC